rnacentral:lncRNA from 1 species
CUUUGGUUUCAGAGAUAUGAGCCAAAAUCUACAUUUUACCCCUAUGUUCUAUUUUUAGCCAUGGCGGCCAUCUUGGUUGGUUGGCCGGGUCACCGGACACAUUUUUUAAACUAGAUACCCCAAUGAUGAUUGUGGCCAAGUUUGGUUAAAUUUGGCCAAGUAGUUUCAGAGGAGAAGAUUUUUGUAAAAGCUAACGACGGACGACGACGACGACGACGGACGACGGACGCCAAGUGAUGAGAAAAGCUCACUUGGCCC